GAUGAACGCUGGCGGCGUGCCUAAUACAUGCAAGUCGAGCGAACGGACGAGAAGCUUGCUUCUCUGAUGUUAGCGGCGGACGGGUGAGUAACACGUGGAUAACCUACCUAUAAGACUGGGAUAACUUCGGGAAACCGGAGCUAAUACCGGAUAAUAUUUUGAACCGCAUGGUUCAAAAGUGAAAGACGGUCUUGCUGUCACUUAUAGAUGGAUCCGCGCUGCAUUAGCUAGUUGGUAAGGUAACGGCUUACCAAGGCAACGAUGCAUAGCCGACCUGAGAGGGUGAUCGGCCACACUGGAACUGAGACACGGUCCAGACUCCUACGGGAGGCAGCGGUAGGGAAUCUUCCGCAAUGGGCGAAAGCCUGACGGAGCAACGCCGCGUGAGUGAUGAAGGUCUUCGGAUCGUAAAACUCUGUUAUUAGGGAAGAACAUAUGUGUAAGUAACUGUGCACAUCUUGACGGUACCUAAUCAGAAAGCCACGGCGAACUACGU
rnacentral:rRNA from 1 species